CCCAGGCCAGCCAAGGUGGCGGGGAGUGGGGGGGCCAUUGCGGUGAGCCUUGAAGCCUAGGGCGCGAGCCCGGGUGGAGCCGCCGCAAGUGCAGAUCUUGGUGGUAGUAGCAAAAAAUUU